rnacentral:rRNA from 1 species
UACGUAGGGUCCGAGCGUUUGUCCGGAAUUAUUGGGCGUAAAGAGCUCGUAGGCGGUUUGUCGCGUCUGCUGUGAAAUCCCGAGGCUCAACCUCGGGCCUGCAGUGGGUACGGGCAGACUAGAGUCCGGUAGGGGGAGCAGGGAAUUCCUGGUGUAGCGGUGAAAUGCGCAGAUAUCAGGAGGAACACCGGUGGCGAAGGCGCUGCUCUGGGCCGGUACUGACGCUGAGGAGCGAAAGCGUGGGGAGCGAAACAGG